rnacentral:pre_miRNA from 1 species
UAUAUACUCCCUCCGUCCCAAAAUAAGUGUCUUAACUUUGUACUAACUCUAGUACAAAGUUGUACUAAGCUUGAGACACUUAUUUUGGGACGGAGGGAGUAUUAG